GCUAACCGUACUGUUGGUUAUGUACGGCUAAGCAUUGAGGCAGUCUAAAUAGGCAAAUCCGUUUAGACAAUGCUAGGAUGUGAUGGGGAAGCCCUUCGGGGCGAAGUAGCUGAUUUCACACUGUCAAGAAAAGCUUCUAUCGAGUUUAAAGGCGCCCGUACCGUAAACCGACACAGGUGGGUGAGGAGAGAAUCCUAAGGCCAGCGAGAGAACUAUUGUUAAGGAACUCGGCAAAAUGACCCCGUAACUUCGGGAGAAGGGGUGCCUGUCUAUGACAGGCCGCAGAGAAUAGGCCCAAGCGACUGUUUACCAAAAACACAGGUUUCUGCUAAGUCGCAAGACGAUGUAUAGGAGCUGACGCCUGCCCGGUGCUGGAAGGUUAAGGGGAUCUGUUAGAGCAAUCGAAGCAGUGAACUUAAGCCCCAGUAAACGGCGGCCGUAACUAUAACGGUCCUAAGGUAGCGAAAUUCCUUGUCGGGUAAGUUCCGACCCGCACGAAAGGCGUAACGAUUUGGGCACUGUCUCAACAAUAGACUCGGUGAAAUUGUAAUCCCGGUGAAGAUGCCGGGUACCUGCGACAGGACGGAAAGACCCCAUGGAGCUUUACUGUAGCUUGACGUUGGGUCUUGGUACUACAUGUACAGGAUAGGUGGGAGACUAUGAAGCAUGGACGCCAGUCUGUGUGGAGUCAUCCUUGGGAUACCACCCUUGUAGUACUGGGAUUCUAACCAUAGGCCUUGAAUCAGGUCUUGGAACACCGUCAGGUGGGCAGUUUGACUGGGGCGGUCGCCUCCGAAAAAGUAUCGGAGGCGCUCAAAGGUUUCCUCAGCACGGUCGGAAAUCGUGCGAAGAGUGUAAAGGCAAAAGGAAGCUUGAUUGCAAGACAUACAGGUCGAGCAAGGACGAAAGUCGGACUUAGUGAUCCGGUGGUACCGCAUGGAAGGGCCAUCGCUCAACGGAUAAAAGCUACCCUGGGGAUA
rnacentral:rRNA from 1 species